CAGAUUUUGUUUCUAGUUAAACUUCUGAGUGAUCAUUACUUAUACUGUUAUGUUUUGUAAAAACCUGCUAUCAUUACUAAACAACAUUAGUUAAUUGUACUUUUUAGCUGAAAUAGUAAGUGCCACUAAUCCGGUUUAGUAGAAUUAACUUGGUGUGUUUAGUUUUAUAACAAAGGGGAGGGGCCUAAUUCAAAACUUCACUGGGCGCCCCACAAGGCCUCUGCAACGGAUUCAACGCGGACUCUGCGGGAGGGAAGAAAGCAGACUGUUGCCGACAUUUUCUCAGCAGCAUUGAACGCCUUGAACGAUCCUUGUGUUGUGAAGAUGCUGUGGAAGUGAUUCUUCGAAAGCUUUACGGUGGACAGAUUCUGCAGGUUCUGCAUGGCAACAAGGGACGAGAUGCAAGCCAAAGAGAUGACUGCAAACCAGAAAAUGACCAUGAGAGUCAUUCUAACAGAGGCAGAUAUAAGGAAAGUCAUCCUACAUUCAAGGCCUUCUACAGUAAAAGACUUGAUAACCAAGCUUCGAGAGUCACUGGGACUUCAAUACAACUUCAGUCUCCAAUUCCAAGACCCUGAAUUCAAUAAUGAACUAUGUAAUCUAACAGAUCUUCAAGAACUUCCAGAAAAACCAACCAUUAAAGUCCUGCCUGUCUUUGACCUGGUGCCUGUCUCAUCUGAUGACGUCUUUAGCGACACAAGUACUGCAGAUACAGAGAUACUCUCACAUUCACCUCAGGAUCGACGUGAACCAUGGCCAGAAUUUUUUGACAUUCCAA